AUGGGUAGCAUUCCAUUCUUCAAGAAUUGGAUGAUUGGGUCCAUGUAGCUUGGCUAGAGAUCGGUUUGCAUCAUUGUGGCUUCCUCAAUGCUUAGGCUUUCUAGAGUUUUAACAUAUGAACUAUUAGAAAAUCGGAUAGGCAGCAUGUGUAGAUUUCAAAACUUUGAAAAUAGACAAAAAAUAAAAUAGGUUAAACCCUUGAACCCCACAUGCUAGAUACC
rnacentral:lncRNA from 1 species